CCGGUUCCGGCUCGAAGGGCCCCGCUACCUCAUGCGCAGGCCAGGUCGGCCGACCAGGUCGUGCCCACCAUUCUGUCGCGCAAGCGCCGGGCCGCGGCGAUGCAGCGCACCGCGCUGCUGGCCAGGGGUGCGGCCGCGGGGCUCUGCCUCGCCGCGCUCAUCGUGCUCGCCGCAGACACCCGCAAGGGCUGGGCCCGCGACUCCUACAGCAACUACACCCAGUUCCGGUACUCGGAAGCCGUGAACGUGAUCGGUUUCCUGUACUCGGUGUUCCAGUUCGUCGCGCUCGUCGAGCUCAUGAGGAGGAACAAGCAUUUGAUCCCCCAUCGCAAGCGUGGUCUCUUCGACUUCACCAUGGACCAGGUGCUAGCAUACCUUCUGAUAUCGUCGUCGUCGUCCGCAACCGCUCGAGUGAGCGACCUGAUCGACAACUGGGGGAGCGACCCUUUCCCGACGAUGGCGAACGGCUCCAUCGCCAUAUCCUUCAUGGCGUUCGCGGUGUUCGGCAUCUGCUCCCUCAUCUCCGCGUACAACCUGUUCCGCCGAGACAUGUAGCCGCCAGCCGCUCUCGUCAACCUCUUGUUGCCCUUCCAUUGUAUUUGUGGACACGAGUUUUCGGCGCGGACUUCACAUUGUGCUGUACGUGUGUGUAUAUGUGUGUGUGUGAUGGGAACUCUGAACUGCUAGCAAAUAAUAUAUCUCUACACGGUGAA